rnacentral:rRNA from 1 species
GAUGAACGCUAGCGGCAGGCUUAAUACAUGCAAGUCGUGGGGCAGCAUGUCCCGCAGCAAUGCGGGAUGAUGGCGACCGGCAAACGGGUGCGGAACACGUACACAACCUUCCUUUAAGUGGGGAAUAGCCCAGGGAAACUUGGAUUAAUACCCUGUAAUAUAUAGAAGCGGCAUCGCUUUUAUAUUAUAGCAGCAAUGCGCUUGAAGAUGGGUGUGCGGCUGAUUAGGUAGUUGGCGGGGUAAUGGCCCACCAAGCCGACGAUCAGUAACUGGUGUGAGAGCACGACCAGUCACACGGGCACUGAGACACGGGCCCGACUCCUACGGGAGGCAGCAGUAAGGAAUAUUGGUCAAUGGACGCAAGUCUGAACCAGCCAUGCCGCGUGGAGGAUGAAGGUCCUCUGGAUUGUAAACUUCUUUUAUCUGGGAAGAAAUCCAUUUUUUCUAAAAUGGUUGACGGUACCAGAUGAAUAAGCACCGGCUAACUCCGUGCCAGCCGCCGCGGUAAGAC